UUGCACGUUUGUUAUUAUAGUUGUUGUUUAUCCAAAAGUUAAUAAUGAGGAUUCAGGCUUUUCAUUGGUUGCAUUUUUAUUAUCUCUAUGUUCAUUUUGUCUUUCCCCUCUCCCUCUCCUUCCCGUUUUCCAGUCAAACGACCAUUGUUUUUGGCGAGUGAGGCUCUAAAAUCAUUUAUUCGUCGCAAGGAGUACGAUUCAAGCCUUGGUUUGCGCGAUUUGAGCCCGGAUCGAGAGAAAAUUCGACCGAAAGGGUUUGGCGCCGUCGCAGCAACUUUUCCAGCCAUUCACGCCGUUUUAGGUGACCUAAGAAUUCGAGCCAAGGUGCACGGCUGCCGGCGGCUACGGUCCAGUGGCCGGUUGCUGGGGACCCUAAAUGCAGAAUCUCCGGCCCUUCACGUGGAGCACGAUGAGGAAAAUAAGGCUGGCGCCUGGCUCUGCUCCACCAAGUGUGAGACAAUAGUGCACGCCAGGUGUGUGAUUGGAGACUCUCAUUUGCUGAUGCUGCUUAUUUAUUGUUUCUACUUUGAUGUCUUCGUAUCUGUGCAUGAAUUUGGGCAUGCCGUUUCUGCUGCCAGGACAAAGGAGCAACUUGGUUAUGUUGAUAAAUGCAGCCCAAAAGUUAUACUGCUAGUUUUAUGGCUUCUGUAUCAUGGGACGAAAGAAGGAUAAAAGCAAGGGCAAAGAAUCUAAAGAGGAAUCUUCCUCCCCUAGUAAAGCUCUUUCUGAGCACUCAGAUGACCUUAGUAAAAACCUAAACACUAUAUCCACCCCUACUAAAGACCUUAAACUAUGGAUUGAGGAACUCUCUCAAUCUCCAGAAGUUCUUAAAGCAUUACAGUCAAUGGCAUCCUCUUCAGCGGGGGACACAGGUAUGUCUUCUACAACUAAGGCGAUCGUAUCCGCCCAUGGUACGGCUAUUCCGUCUCAAACGGUAGACGGUAAAGAAUUAUCAAAUCCGUUAAUGGCUGUGGAUUUGCUAAAAAUCCAAUAUCAUAAAACCAGUAAUAUACAUAAAUGGUUUGUAAAAAAUUAUUUUGACUAUGAAAUUCCGAUCGAGGAUGGCUAUAAUAAUAUAAAUCCUUGGUUGAUUUCAAAACGAUAUUACCCUGAGGAUUGGUAUUUUAUUCCAAAUGACCUUUCCAAAUCCCAGGAAUAUUAUCAUAAUAUUUUGAUUGAUACUGACUCCGUAAAAAUUAAACAUAAUUUUGAUACUAAAAAUAAAUCUAUUAUUUUAUAUUCCUCUAUUAAAAUCCAACGGAUUCUUCAUCCUCAAAGUUGGCCUGCACCAUCUCUUUAUACUCCAGUAAAAUUCAAAGUUUUAUAUAAACAUAUACAUAGUACUGUUUAUAAUUAUUUUGAUUAUAUGGAAGCGUGGGACAAAGUUUUUUGUAGUCAAAAUCCCACUUAUACUCAUUCAUGGUUAAUCUAUUUUGAUCAAACCACUUUUACUAAAAUCAGUAAUAUCCCCAAUUGGUUUAAACGUUGGUGGCAAUAUAAAGGACUCUCUGAGGAGAUUAUUCCUCAUGGAAUCCAUUAUCUGUUUCAAUAUUUUAAAACCCAUUAUAAACCCACACCUGAAGAAAUCAGUAUACCAUCCUUAAUGUAUUACUGUAUGACCUUCUUCACACCCUGGGUUUAUCAAUGGUUUUUUGAUUCUCAGCCUCUCCAGGGAACCUCCAUUCCCAUGAUAGUAAAACGCCAUAAAAUUAAAUGGUGGGGAUCCUUCAAAAAUACCACCACUGAACUUAAAAUUAAUCAAUGGAUCCGCAGUAAAUUAUCUCAGCCCAUUAAACCAACUCUAACCUAUGCAUCUACAUUGGCCAUUUCUGAAAACUCACAAUUUGGGAUCCAAAAAGCCCAAUGCCAGGCCCGGUUAGCAGCCGCUAAAACUCCUGAGGAGUAUAAACUCAUUUGCCAAGAAAUGUUCGAACAUUUGACAACUAGUGCGGACCAAAGAAUAAAAACUUCGUCAAGUAAAGCAAUUGGUGCAUGUUCAUCCAGUAAGCCCAUU